rnacentral:lncRNA from 1 species
AUGCUUCUGUUUAUCCUAAUUAUUCCUACUACAUCUCCCCACCCCUCCCCUUCUCCUCCCCUCCUCCAUCUUGUCACUUCCUUCCCUUACUUCCCCACCUCCAUCCCCUCAGCCUCCUCCAUCUGUUGUAGCCCUCUUCUUCCUCCUCCCCUCCACCGUCUCCUCUAUCCCUCCACCUACUAUACCACGCCUCUAACCCUUCCAGCCCCUCUCCAGCUCCUCCUUCUUUAUCGCCUCUAUCCCUUUCUUCUCCAUCUCCUUUAUCUCAGCUAUCCCCCUUUGUCUCCCUCCUCUACCUUCUGUCUACCCUCUUUACCUCCUCCAUCUCUUCUAUCCCCUCCUUUCCCUUCGUCCCCGUCCCCUCCUCUGCUAUUCUCUCCUCUUCUCUUCUUGCUUCCUCUUUUAUCUCAUCUAUUCCUUUUCAUUUACCGUCAACGUCCUCUGCUGUCUUCCUCUAUCACCAACUUCCCUUUGUCCGCCUUCCUUCUCUCCUCAAUCUCAUCCAUCCCGCUCUCUUCCUUCUUUCCCUCCCCUGUCUCCUCUGCCCCCCUCCCGUCUUCCCCUUUCCCAUCUUCUUCCUCUGUCUCCUUCUCUAGAGCGUCUUCUGUUUUCUCCUCCAUGUCCUGUAUCUUCUCUUCUUCCUUCCCCUCCUUUAUCUUCUCUAUCCCUUUCUCCUCUUGCCUCCCCUUUCUAUCUCCUCCAUCUCCUUUCCUGCCUCACCCCCCUCCAUUUCCUCUGGCUCCUUCUCUUUCUUUUCCUUGCUCCCACCCAACCUUCUCCUGCUUAGCCGUAUCCCCCGCACUUCCCUUCUCCUUCUCCUGCUCCUCAUUCCUAGCCUUCAUCCACACUGUCCUCUUCCUCCGUCUCCUGUCUCCUUUUCCUCCUCUGUCUCCCUUGGGGCUGGAGUGUGGUCCUCCCUCCUACCUUUCCUCCUCUGUCUCCCUUGGGGCUGGAGUGUGGUCCUCCCUCCUACCUUUCCUCCUCUGUCUCCCUUGGGGCUGGAGUGUGGUCCUCCCUCCUACCUUUCCUCCUCUGUCUCCCUUGGGGCUGGAGUGUGGUCCUCCCUCCUACCUUUCCUCCUCUGUCUCCCUUGGGGCUGGAGUGUGGUCCUCCCUCCUACCUUUCCUCCUCUGUCUCCCUUGUGGCUGGAGUGUGGUCCUCCCUCCUACCUUUCCUCCUCUGUCUCCCUUGUGGCUGGAGUGUGGUCCUCCCUCCUACCUUUCCUCCUCUGUCUCCCUUGGGGCUGGAGUGUGGUCCUCCCUCCUACUUUUCCUCCUCUGUCUCCCUUGUGGCUGGAGUGUGGUCCUCCCUCCUACUUUUCCUCCUCUGUCUCCCUUGUGGCUGGAGUGUGGUCCUCCCUCCUACUUUUCCUCCUCUGUCUCCCUUGUGGCUGGAGUGUGGUCCUCCCUCCUACUUUUCCUCCUCUGUCUCCCUUGUGGCUGGAGUGUGGUCCUCCCUCCUACCUUUCCUCCUCUGUCUCCCUUGUGGAGUGUGGUCCUCCCUCCUACCUUUCCUCCUCUGUCUCCCUUGGGGCUGGAGUGUGGUCCUCCCUCCUACCUUUCCUCCUCUGUCUCCCUUGGGGCUGGAGUGUGGUCCUCCCUCCUACCUUUCCUCCUCUGUCUCCCUUGGGGCUGGAGUGUGGUCCUCCCUCCUACCUUUCCUCCUCUGUCUCCCUUGGGGCUGGAGUGUGGUCCUCCCUCCUACCUUUCCUCCUCUGUCUCCCUUGGGGCUGGAGUGUGGUCCUCCCUCCUACCUUUCCUCCUCUGUCUCCCUUGGGGCUGGAGUGUGGUCCUCCCUCCUACCUUUCCUCCUCUGUCUCCCUUGGGGCUGGAGUGUGGUCCUCCCUCCUACCUUUCCUCCUCUGUCUCCCUUGGGGCUGGAGUGUGGUCCUCCCUCCUACCUUUCCUCCUCUGUCUCCCUUGGGGCUGGAGUGUGGUCCUCCCUCCUACCUUUCCUCCUCUGUCUCCCUUGGGGCUGGAGUGUGGUCCUCCCUCCUACCUUUCCUCCUCUGUCUCCCUUGGGGCUGGAGUGUGGUCCUCCCUCCUACCUUUCCUCCUCUGUCUCCCUUGGGGCUGGAGUGUGGUCCUCCCUCCUACCUUUCCUCCUCUGUCUCCCUUGGGGCUGGAGUGUGGUCCUCCCUCCUACCUUUCCUCCUCUGUCUCCCUUGGGGCUGGAGUGUGGUCCUCCCUCCUACCUUUCCUCCUCUGUCUCCCUUGGGGCUGGAGUGUGGUCCUCCCUCCUACCUUUCCUCCUCUGUCUCCCUUGGGGCUGGAGUGUGGUCCUCCCUCCUACCUUUCCUCCUCUGUCUCCCUUGGGGCUGGAGUGUGGUCCUCCCUCCUACCUUUCCUCCUCUGUCUCCCUUGA